GGCGGCGCGAGCCCCCGCCGGGCGGCCGGGGAAGGAGGGGAAGAUGGCGGAGUGAGGGGCGGAGGAGGCGGAGGGGCCGGGCCGCCCGCGGCCCCGCGGCCUCGGCCGCGCUCAGUGCUGACACAGGAGCGCACAAAGGGGAUGGUGUCCGAGUCAUUAGACAAAACCAGAACGUACGAAUAAUCCACAGUGCAAAACAAGUUUUAUGGAAAGUGGAGAGAUUACAAUGGAAUUUGUUUAGCCUUAUGAAUUCAUGUGAUAAUAAGGUGAAAAAGACUUAAGACACGAUGAAACCUGUGAAAGUAUUACUGAAACCACUGGCUCUUCAGCUCCCAGAAGAGAUUGUGGAUUGAUUAAAAAUAACGCUUUCCAGAUCUGUUUUUCCACAUCUUCAUAACAAGAAUAAGACUUUCCCAACAGUGUGAGCAUGGAUGGUCAACAAAAUGAUCAGCAGAAGUAUUUGAGUGCCUCAGAGAGAAAGAGAUGGUGAUAUGUACUGUAUUUCCAUUUUCAUGAUCUUCUUGCUGCUUCUAACGUAGGAGCUGAAAAUUGUCAGUGGAAGACUUUCUGAAUUCGAUCAACCAAGUGGUUAAGUUUGGGAUUCUAGAUCCUAUCCUGACAUCAAGAAGGUGGUCCUGUUACCUGCUCACAGACUGCAAGAUGUGGAUGUUUCUCUUCUAGCAAGCAAAAACCUGUCCUUCACUUCCAUGGAGCUGAAUGAACAAAGAUCUGUCCAGUUUCAGUCAUGUCACCAAACAUUUGGUUCACCAGAUGGUUUCUCCUACAGAAGUACCCCCACUGUUUUAUCAAAAUUCAAAAGCAGAGUAACAGAAAUCAGCAUUUGGUUUCCUGAAGAAAUGUCUUCUGUGCCAGCUCUUCAAACAGCUUUCUCCAUUCUGUUUUAAAAUGAGAAAUGCUUUGUAAUCAGAUGCAAGUGGAAGCUGGUGUUCUUCACUGAUAUUUCCUUCUUCAUUUUAGGAAGGUUUGGUACUUUGCUGUGUCAUAUUGGAUUUCCUAGCAGAUAAAGUGUCUGCAUGCAUUACUGUGUCAGACUCACUUGACAUAUAUGAAAAGUUGCAGCAGGAAAAAUUGCUCUGACAUGAGGAGGAAACUUACCAAACAACUGGGGACAUCCCAUACAGGUAUUUUCUAGUCCAGGACCCAGGCUUGACUUUGUAGAUAGAUGUCAAAUCACAUAAAGCAGCUAAUGCAAGAACAAGAACAAAUGCAGAAUCACCUUGUCUGUAGUGUGUAAAUGCAUUAUCCCAGUCUGUGAUCAAAAUGUAUAUUUGCAUGUGUAAACCUAUGUAAGUGCUGGAUAUGAAGAGGUUUCAACAGAAGGAGAAAUCACCCUGCACCAUUUAACUUUUAGCAAAGAAAAAUGAAGCUUUAAAGCCUUGAGGGUAACAAGAUAAUGAUUAGCUUUACGUUAAAUCAUUCCCUCCCUCUGGCUUUUUGUGAAUUCUUAGCAGCGAAAGGAACAAAACCAUUCUACUGUAGAAGAAAUAGGGCAGAACAUGUUUCUUUAUUAUAGAAAUUAACUUCAGGUGAGAUGAAGGAGACCACAAGUGUAAAGUUGUGGUUUAUCCACCUGGCUUCCUUGACACAGUUUCAGCUUUUCAUACUGCUGAUGGAAUCAGCUUUCUGAUUCUUUCGUGACUGAGAACUGAGAGGACCUGUAGAUUUUCAUUAUCUAGGCAGAAAUAGGCUGAAGAGAAUGGAAUGUUAGCCAUGUAAGGGGGUAAGUCGAGGUACAGCAAAAAUACUUAGGAUGGGCCUUUUUCUGGCUCUUCUCAUUCCUUCCCAAACUAAGGCACAAUCUGUUGUUCUUAUGUUUACACGAGAUUCUUUGUCUACAUCAUUUGUGCUUAUAUAGGAUGUUUUCUGUCAUUUUGAGAUGGGAGCAUAUAUUGUUUACGUGCUCCCUGCUAUGGUAUUGUUUAUGGCAAGUAAGAUUUCUUGGCAAAAAAACACCAGACCUGGGAUGUGUAUUGUAUUCCACUUCAAAUCUGAAGCUUUUCUUAGUGCACCUUAUUCCAAGCUUGUGAUUUAGAAAAUGUGACUUACUAGCUUAAAAUAAUGUUUUCAAAUCUGGAUAAGAUAAGGAUAUAUAGCUUCUAUUAAUAUGUUUUGGGAGAUACUAAAAUGGUUGAGGAGAUGUUCCAGAUUUCUUGUUUUGUUCUGUUUUGCCUUUUAGAAAACUGCUGGAGAGAGCCAAACAGCCUGAAAAUGGCUGAAAAAGCAAACAAUGGAAAUCCUUCUUAAAUCUUAAUGACAGCUUGUAAGGGCAGCAUUCUAAUAUUUAAAGUGUGGUGAUAUUUUAUGGGACCAAGUUCCAUAGCAGAGUGAGGACAAGUGUUGAUGUUGAUCCUGAUCUUCGUAGUAACGUCUGUGUUUAGACAUGCCUUGUAACAAUAAGGUUUAGUGACAGCUUUACCCAUUUUUUGUUCCCAUGAAGAAAAGAGCAGAUGUGUUAGCUAAAGGACGGGGGGCAAGACACUGUGUCUCAAAAUAAUGCCAACUGUAAUGAGCAGACAGGUGCACUAAAAUUGUGUCCAGCACUGUGCUGAGCUCUGCGAUAAGAGUUAACAUUAAUCUUGAGGCAACCAUCAGCUUGGUCUGACUUUUAAGAGCAUAGGAUUUCUUUGCUGAAUAUGGUCUGAAUUUUCUGGCAUUGGAGGCAACUAGAAAAGCACACUUCCUUUUAGGGCGUCCUUAUGUUGAAGCCAAUAGGAUUUAAUGUAGAUGUCUGUAGAAGCAGGAUCCAUCUCUAAGUGAUGGAAAACACUGUCAAUAUCAUAGGAUUAUAAAUCGUUGGGAAGUAUCUGGUAUAAGAAAUGUCUCAUUUUAGAUCUGGGAAUUUUCUUUUUUUCCUACUGCCCAUACUUACCCUUCUGCUAUUAGAGCUAGCAGUUGUUUCUUGCAUAGCUUGAUGACAAAAUACUUGGGGAACAGGAAGGUAUUUUUGUUUUCUGUGGACAUGUACAGAAAUUGCAAAUUUGUCUGCCUACAGAGUAGACACUUCAAGCUCUUCAAUUUCUUUUUCUUUAGGAAUAACACUUAAUGUUUUGUAACCCACAUUGUAACAAAAAAAAAGAAAAAAUUGUUGAUUUCUCCUGAAUCUUAUUGAUGACAAUGUAUCAGCUUUAGUUUUCAAGUUUAAUUUCAGAACAUCAAGAUUUUAUUAGGCUAAUGAUCUGUGGUUUUCACAGAAGUAAUAUUGCAAUAGUGCAUGUCCAGAAGACCCCAAUUGCUGUACCUUCCUGGCCAGCACUUUUAUAAAACUGCUGUGUUAGGAAAUGCUGCUUCAGCCUACUUACUUUUUCUUGCUCCACUUUUUCUCUGUGUUGGUUGGAAAUCUUCCCAUGUGAAAGAUUACAAAAACAAGGGGCACGUGCAAUAAAUCAUAUAUAUAUAUACAUAUAUAUAUUUUAAUACUUGUGGACAAAAUGAUGUUACAAGUUGUUUGAAAACAACAAAAUCACCAAUGUCUUCCAUUUUGAGAUGUGUAUAGUUCCAUAAGCAUUAGUGCUUUGUAGCAAACUGUAGUGCCAUGUUAGGAUCAAUGCAUGAGCCUAGUAGUAUUUUUACAAUUUCAGAGUGACAAAUUUAUUAGUAAACAGUGAUGAUAAUGUAAUUAACACUAGAAAGGAUACAAUAGAAAUGUCACAAACAUGGUCUAAACAUGCAGUAUCCUCCCUUUGACAAUGGCAAUGCUAUCCUUAAAACUGGAACGCAUUAACUUAAUGGGCUUCAUAGAAUCAUAGUUGACUUUUUGUUAUUUGUCUGUCUGUCCAACGGCAAUAGUAAGCUAGAGUAUGCAAGCGUCCAUCUCUAUCGGUGGGAUUCUUUUUAGUCUUUGUUGGUGUUUUCUUCCAUGUGCAGCAUUUUCAAUUUUAUUAUUAGCCAUCCCAUUAUAUACUCAGAAAAGUAUGAAUAUGCUAAGGAGUUUGUGUGCAUUCUGUACACAUCUCUGUUACCUUCAGAUCAUUUGCAAAAUCUGUGGAUCAAGUAAUUUUUUUUUCAGACUGACUAUAUGAUUAUUAUAGCUAGUUAAACAUUAUCCUCAUUAUGUGAUAAGUUAAUAGUUGCAAAAUGCGAUGUAGAAGACUUUUAUCCAUUAUUGCAGGAAUGGGGAACCUUUUUUGGCUGAAGUCCUAUUGAAUUUUACAAUAACUUUGGUGGAUCCUGCAUUUACAUACAUCUUAGUGUUAAUAAGAAUAAAGAAUAUAAUAAGGUCAAAGGCUGUUGAAAAAUGAUGUUGCAGACUGUAUCUGUACAGCAGACGAUCUCUAGCCAGUGGAUCAGAGAUUCCCCACCCCUGUAUUGUUGAGAAUUCACUAUCCUGUAUUUUAGAUAACUUCCAGUUUUGCUUUCCAGCUCUUGAGCUCAAUUUUAAUAAUUUCUGUUUCUCCCUCUGCUUUUCUCAGAAGGAAGGUUUAGACCGGGGAAGUCAAAAUGACUCAAUGGGCAGCUUGGACUGGUCAAAUAGAGGACUGGCAUUAUUCUUGAGAUGUGCAAUGCUCUGUGGAUGGCAUCCUCUGAUUUCCUAGGAAUAAGUCUUUUAUUUGGUGCCAGUGUUGCUUUUCACCCAUUUUCUCUCUUUUACAAGAACAAAAUUUUCUUUCAACUUAGAGAGGAUACUGCAUCUUUUUUUCCUGAGACCUGCCUGUAAAUGGCCAUUAGGGGGAGGGAGGGAACGGGUACUUGGUUUUGUAUUUUGGUACAAUGUCUCUAAAGUAAUUAAUCAAGAAGCAUGUACUUCUGUGCAAUGGCAGUAAUCCAUGCAGAGUUGAUGUAUGUAACAGGGAAAAAAAACCCAACAAAACCAAACUGACAAGCCUCUGCAUCUAAUAUAUUUCCAAGAAAAUUGGACAGAUGGGCCAUUUACAGCAGAGCUCUGGGGGACCUGUGCUGAAAGUCAGGUUCAAUUCUAAAUGGAAGUAGCUGUACCAUUGAAUAAAGUAGUUAGUUUUAAUGCUUGGGAGAAUCAAUUGAAAAAUACCUCUGAAACUGGAAUGCAAAAUAGCACAGUAUGUAGGGGGAAGAAUCCCUGAUGCAAACAAAGCCAUAAGAUGAUUUAAUAAGAAAAUAGAACUUUAGUAGCAAUAACUGUUUUGCAUGUGAUAGUAAAUAACUUGCAAAUUAGCAAGACUGUACAGUAGAGUAAGUGGGUAAUAACCAAAUAAGUUUGUGGCGCUCUGUGCUGCAGGGAGUUGUGUGAAGAGUCUUCCUGAGAAGAAAGGUAAAUUCUUCUUAUGUUCCUCUCAUUGGAGGGAAUUUGGCACUUGAAUACAAAGUUAAUGAAUUUGAUACAUAUAUAUAAAAAAGAAAAAUUAGCUUUGUCACAUCUGAAGCACUGUCAAUGAGUGCUAGGGGAAGGGCAGACAGUUCUUUUUGAAAGGAUAGCUGAAGUUUCCCUGUAUUUUUUUUCUUUUUAGUAGUCUAGCACUUGCUCUAUUUCUCUGAGAAGAAACUGAACCUUUCCAGAUGUUGGACUGUAAAGAGAACCUGAUUCUGAAGUUAGAGCUUUUAUUGUGUGAAGUCUUUUCUGCUCUUUUUUUUUUUUUUUUUUUUUUUUUGGUUGGUUGGUUGUGGUUUUUUUUUUGUUUGUUUUUGUUUAAAAAGGCCAAUCUGAGAUGGUCUUUAAAUAAAUAAAAAACAAACUAAAAAAAUUAGAGAGCACUUGACACUCAAAAUGUUUGUACAUGCCAGGCACAACUGUAGAAUUCUAAAAAUGUUACUUUACAGCAGGAAAUAAUUUUAACCUUGCUAAACACUGUUUCAGACCAUGGUUGAUUUCUGUCGAUGCCGGAAGUUUUGCAGGGGCAAGUACUGUGAAGCCUCUGGUAACACAAAGGGUUAUUGAUCUCCAGCUGUAGCCUCUGCACCCAGCUAAGUAUUUGCUGUCAAAGGGUUACAUAAAAGAGCCACAGGAAUUCUAAAGCAUUCCUAGUUGACGCUAUUUUCGGUCUAUAGAGACAAUAUGGCCCAACAGAUAAUAAUGUAUUCUGAACAGAAUUAUUUCACCAGCGGCUUACAUCUAUCCGGCUGGAUUUCUUCUGGAAAGCUAAAGUAAUUUAGGCUGUGACUUACAGCUGAAUGGAAGCUUGUGGUUUUGAAAGCAUGGAUGUGAAGCAGUUUGGCUCUUCAGAAAUUGAUAAUGGAACUGUGACAGCUGUGAGCAUUUUUAGUGUAUAAAGUAACAAGCAUGAGAAUGUCUAAAUUAAGUGUUGGCUAGUAUGUAAUAUGCAUAUGAAAAGCUAAUUGAUCUGGAAGGCUGUAAUCAGUAUAAAUUCCAGCUAUUGAAUUAUUGAUAAAAUUGGAAGCUGGCCAAAGGGGACCUUAAUUUGAUUGUUAUCUGAUUACAUUAGAGAAAUUAUAAAUUUAUUCUGGUCUGUGAUCAGCAAGUACAUUUACAUAAAGUGAAAUAAUGAAAACACAGUCACGUUGAUACUUCAGAAUUAUGAACUUUGUAGUGGAACAGAAUUCUUUAAGGCUAUAUCCGUUCAGAGAGGGGGAGAGGAAAUCAAGACUGAUGUAGCCAGGCAAGCUAUCUGCAUAUUCUUCCCAGUUCAGGCUUUUUAUAAUGAUCUGUAUUCUAUGGGCUACUAGACUAGAAAUUACUAUUCACAGCAAGAAAAGGAAUCCCUUUGCCUUUCAGCUCUUGUACAGUGGCAUGACUUUUCCUUCAACCUCCUUGAUUUACCUGCUUCCAAACCUGAGUGGAAGUGUUAGAUGCUACUACACUUUGGUGUGGGAUAUCAAAGGUGUAGUGACUGGUAUGGACGUGCCUCCUUUAGCAGUACCAAACCCAGAUGACACCAAGUAUAUGCUGUUUGCAUAUCCAGUAGUGCUGCUGCAGAGGGUCCAGCCAGUAUGUGUGCAGGGAACUGCACUUUCAAGGAUUGCACCUUUUGCAACUGAGGGUAAUUGUCAAAUUUAGGACAAAAAGAAAGUCUUGCAAAGACUUCUUGAUAGUGAGUGAGAAGAAAUUUUACUGAGCUUGAGAUCACUGGCGCUUGGAUUACAUUAUCAAGAGUUGGCAGCCUGCUUUUUUGGGCAGAAAAGGGAAAAUUAUUCAAGAUAAGAACAGUUCUUGAUUGAUAACCAAUCUUAGAAAUUACCGCUUAGGAAACUGUCAUCCUUAGGAAACUGUCUGGUCUUCCUCCAAAACUAAUAAUCGUGCUUGUUGUUCAGGUACAAAGCUGCAUAAUGGCAGUCCAAGUUAGAUUCCACUGGAUUUCUUUUACAGAACGAUCCAGCAUUUUGCCCCUGUAGCAUUUUGACUGGCACACAAAAGCCAGCAGUUGAACCAGGGUGUCUUGUUUAACAGUGCAGAACACUAACCAUGGAUUCUGAUGUCUGUUCCCUUUCAGUCUGCUCUUCACUUUCUCCUGAGAUUUAGAGAAGGUGUCAGUGUUCAUGAUGUCAGCAGAGCGUGUUUCUGUCUCUUGAGCCUAUGUGCCAGGUUAUAAUAUAGACAGAUUGCCAAGACUUUACACCACCUAAAGAUAAAGAUAAAAGGUAACUUACUGUUCAGUGUGUCCUAUGUAAAUCCUGUCUGCUUCUCUCCAUUUCCCCUCCAAAUGAGUGUGUUUGCAGGUCAAAUAAAAGGAGGCUAGUUUGCAAUGCCGUAGGCAUGAAGAACUGCAUGGAGAAACUGAAGGAAAGCGGCACAGGCCCACAAACCAAACCUUAGAGCUAGUAUUCUAAUUAUGCAUGAUUCAAAAUGUCUAGUGUAAUGUAGUUAUUACCAGUAAAUUGAGAUAUGCAUUUAUACAUAAUGAAGCAAUAGGAAUUAAUAUACCAAUAGCUUGAACUUCCUGCUUUGAUUCUCAAAUUUUGGGUUUUUUUAGAGAAUGUGCUGCCUCUGUAGAGAAAGGGGCAGAAUGUAUAGAUAGGGACAGAAGCAUGGCACCAAAACUGUAAAUCAGGAACUAGGAUCAGCAGAACUCGCCUUUAUAACCUCUCGUCUGGUUCAUAUUAGUGUCCUGAGCAUGUAAAAAGCAGGGCAUGAACUAAGCAUGUUUAGGGGCGAGAUGAGGUUUCUCACCUGCUGCAGCUGUAGCAAGGAAAAGGGUGCAGAGUUUCUUACAAGGUGCAGGGAGGAGCAACUGGUGGGAAAGAAGAAAAACAAAGCCACAAAACAACACAGAAAAACCCACCAACAAAAAGACAACAAACCUCCAAACCAACAAACAAGUAGCAGAAACCACUCAAGUUGAGUGUAGUAUUUGCCAGACAGUAGGUAAUGAGCUUGGAUGUGGUGAUAGAAAUUAUUUGGAGAAGACUGAAAUUAAUAAGCACAGUACAUAUUUUUCAGGUGUUGAAUAGCUUUUUAAUAGACAGUAUUUUCAGGUAACUCUAGCCACAUAGGCAGCUGUACUGAAGCAUACUGGUACCAGCCAGCAAUAAUGGCACCUGCAGGAAUGAACCUGAAAAUACUGGUAAUCUUGUAUAUUUUUUAUGUUCUUUAAAGAGAUUUUUAAAAACAGAAAAUGAGGUUUGAUCGCUGAAGGUCUUUAUCUUCUGCAACACAGGUUGCAAUUGUCUUUUUUCUUUAUUUCACUUAUUAAAUAAAAGGGUAUUUGGGUGCCAUCUUUCUGUAAACUCUUAGUGUGUUCUCUGUAAUAUUCUGCAAAUCUUAGUGGAUAAUGCAGUCAAUUCUGCUGGCAGUUUGAAAAUAAGAGAAUGUGUGGCGUAACCUACAUCACUAAUACUUUUCCAAGUUUAAACUUGUAAUUAAACAUGUAGAAUACUAGCUUGUUACUGCAGAAUUCCAUACUUCUAGCUUAGCUUAAUUUUGUAAGUGGGCUUAACUUGUGCAGAACACUUCUCCAUGUACAGAGGCUCAGUCCUCUUUCUUAAAUAGAAAGAAGCGUCUUGGUGGAAGAAAUUGUAUGUCAAGUUAACUCCUAUUCAUACUUCAUGGCCAACCAUUCAUGAAGCACCGUGAUUUGGAUUUAAAACAGGGGUUGCGUUUUUCUCAUGAGUACUCCUUCUAGAUAGAUAAGAAUUGCCAAACGAAGAUAGGACUAUUAUGAGAGAAAAUAACUAUUUUAUGGUAUUAGAAAUUAGACUAAAGGAAAUCCUUUGAGCCAACUUCUUCAAGCAACAAGUAAAUCUGUAAGACAAAUUUAGCCCAGUGGUUAACCAUGGUCAUUCUUAAGUCUUUAGAACACUAUGCAUGGCUUUAAACACUGUCUUUUUUUUUGUUUUGUGAUGAGUAAGCCAUUGUAUCCUUUGUAUUUCGCUUCAGUAUAACCUGAGGAAAAAGCUACUUUAGGAUGUCAGUGAAGUUAUCCUCCUUUUGGAAAGCAUAACAGCAAAGGAGAAGUAUUGAAUAUAAAUUCUUUAAAAUUACCUUAGUACUUAAAACAAGCUAGAAAAUACUUAGACUGAACUUCUGAUGGCAUUCUUACAUGGAUUAGUGGAGGAAAUUAUUGGUGUAACUAGGAACUGUGUACUCCCAUUGCACAUGUUUUACAUGGUAACAGAGAAAGAAUGUCUCCCUGCAAAUUCUGAUGUUUUUCCAAAAGGCAGCUUGCUUUUAUAUCUAUGCAUCUUUGAGGAUUUCAAGAUAAGAAUUUAUUCUUUUGACACUGUAAAGAGGAACUGUUUAAAAAUGAACUUGGAAACUCUGCACCUGUAAACAAAUUUUUUUAGCAAUAAAGCAGCACAGGCUGAGAAUGCA